rnacentral:rRNA from 1 species
UACCAGCACCCCGAGUGGUCGGGACGAUUAUUGGGCCUAAAGCAUCCGUAGCCGGUUCUACAAGUCUUCCGUUAAAUCCACCUGCUUAACAGAUGGGCUGCGGAGGAUACUAUGGAGCUAGGAGGCGGGAGAGGCAAGCGGUACUUAGUGGGUAGGGGUAAAAUCCGUUGAUCCAUUGAAGACCACCAGUGGCGAAGGCGGCUUGCCAGAACGCACUCGACGGUGAGGGAUGAAAGCUGGGGGAGCAA